rnacentral:rRNA from 1 species
CCUACGGGGCGCUGCAGUGGGGAAUAUUGGACAAUGGGCGAAAGCCUGAUCCAGCCAUGCCGCGUGUGUGAAGAAGGCCUUCGGGUUGUAAAGCACUUUCAGUGGGGAAGAAAGCCUUGGGGCUAAUACCCUCGAGGAAGGACAUCACCCACAGAAGAAGCACCGGCUAACUCCGUGCCAGCAGCCGCGGUAAUACGGAGGGUGCGAGCGUUAAUCGGAAUUACUGGGCGUAAAGCGCGCGUAGGCGGUCUGAUAAGCCGGUUGUGAAAGCCCCGGGCUCAACCUGGGAACGGCAUCCGGAACUGGCAGGCUAGAGUGCAGGAGAGGAAGGUAGAAUUCCCGGUGUAGCGGUGAAAUGCGUAGAGAUCGGGAGGAAUACCAGUGGCGAAGGCGGCCUUCUGGACUGACACUGACGCUGAGGUGCGAAAGCGUGGGUAGCAAACAGGAUUAGAUACCCUAGUAGUC